UGGGGAAUAUUGGACAAUGGGCGAAAGCCUGAUCCAGCCAUGCCGCGUGAGUGACGAAGGCCUUAGGGUUGUAAAACUCUUUCGUCGGGGACGAUAAUGACGGUACCCGAAGAAGAAGCUCCGGCUAACUUCGUGCCAGCAGCCGCGGUAAUACGAAGGGAGCUAGCGUUGUUCGGAAUCACUGGGCGUAAAGCGCACGUAGGCGGAUAGUUAAGUCAGGGGUGAAAUCCCGAGGCUCAACCUCGGAACUGCCUUCAAAACUGGCGACCUGGACUCAAGCAGAGGCAAGUGGAAUUGCGAGUGUAGAGGUGAAAUUCGUAGAUAUUAGGAAGAACACCGGUGGCGAAGGCGGCUCACUGGCUCGAUACUGACACUGAGGUGCGAAAGCGUGGGGAGCAAACAGGAUUAGAUACCCAUGUAGUCCCUGAGCGGGCUGGCAAGGCGCAU
rnacentral:rRNA from 1 species